GUUCUGUUGUCGCCUUGUAAUGAAGUCCCUUUAUUUCCCUGAGAAACUGCUGCAAACCAGAGCGACAUCAAGUGAUCAGCUCAGCAGGCCUUGGUGGCUUUUCGAAGGUCCCCUGCUACCUCCCGCCAGUCAUUACCCUAUAAUCUUCAUGUCAGAGGGCGUCACGGGGCAUAUGUGUCACGUCUAGCAUUCUUCAUCUCCACCGUCAAGGUUUCUGACAGGGACAUCAGGACCUGACACUCAGGAGAGAGAGCUACAGACACCAUAUAUAUAGAGAAGGCAGUUGAGUGCAUAGGAGAUCACCUGAGAUCAUCCAGAGGAUGAGGAGGAAGCUCAGGGCACUGCCAUGAAGGAGAGACAUAUUUAAGGGAUGGCCAGAGAAAGAAGAUACUGCAAAAGAGGACAGAUCAUCUAGAGAGUUCUGUGUCUUACCCUGGCAGUUCUGUGGGUCUCACAGUCAUGCAGCCUGAAGGUAAAGUAUUCCAAAAUGAUCAAAGCCAAAAUCAAGGUCUUGGUUCAAAGUGGAAUCGAUCUAUCGUCCAUCUCAUUAUUUUUAUUGGCUUCAUGAUUUCUCCCAGUAGAGGUGCACCAUAAUUCUAGAGAACAAUGGUGAAGUGGAGCAUCUUCCAUAUUUUAAGAACCGUAUAUAUUUCCUUCUUUGUGGACUAUUAAUAUCUUUUGAUGAUGUCAGGGUUUGCAACGGAAUAGAUUUAAUACAGGACACAUAAUUUAUAGGAUUAUUUUAUAAUAUUUACCCAAAAAGUCAAAUGCAGAAGAGCGCAAGAGAUCUGUCCACAUGCUAGAGACCUGAAGAAUCCAGCAGAGGGCCUGGAUCCUGUAAUGUCCUCCACAAGUCCCUCUGGAGGCCCUGAGCCCGCAGCAGUCUCAUGCAAGUCUGUAUCAAGGACCUGCACCGGGAAGGUCCAAAGGCCGGUGGUGGAAGCUAGAAAGUCUGCACUGGCAGCGUGAAGGAUCUGCACUGGAGCCAGGAAGCGAGGCUCGAGGCAAAGAUCAGAGCUCCCUUGAAGAGAAGAAGCAAAGACCUGAGCUCCUCUAACAAGAACAGCUGAGUUCUUAUCAGGGAAACCAGCUAUGGCAAGCUUCUUCAGGAAAAUCAGCAGCAUACAAUCUUCCCUUCCAGUUCUCCUUUCAUGCCAUUGGGAACAAUCCUCAGGUGGGUCUUCAAUGCCCAGAACCAUGCUGACUCAGUUCAGCUGGGCGUUCCCACUUAAACAGACCAUUAGUUAAUCCAUCACAGCCUUCAUCCAUCUUCCUGUUGGGUUAGUCUAUAUUUACAGAACCGAAAGUAUUAAAUACAUUUUAAAUGACUUCUGACAUGAUGUCUUACUUAGAAAGGCCCACCUUUCUAAAAUACAAUAAUGCAAUCCUCCCUGAUUUGUGAUCUUUCUACUUGCAGCUUUUCAACUUUAUGAUGGUGCAAAAAUAAUAUGGACUCAUUAAUCAGACUUCAAUGUUUUUUUCUUUUUCC
rnacentral:lncRNA from 1 species